GAUGAACGCUGGCGGCGUGCCUAAUACAUGCAAGUCGAGCGAACAGACGAGGAGCUUGCUCCUCUGACGUUAGCGGCGGACGGGUGAGUAACACGUGGAUAACCUACCUAUAAGACUGGGAUAACUUCGGGAAACCGGAGCUAAUACCGGAUAAUAUAUUGAACCGCAUGGUUCAAUAGUGAAAGACGGUUUUGCUUUCACUUAUAGAUGGAUCCGCGCCGCAUUAGCUAGUUGGUAAGGUAACGGCUUACCAAGGCAACGAUGCGUAGCCGACCUGAGAGGGUGAUCGGCCACACUGGAAAUGAGACACGGUCCAGACUCCUACGGGAGGCAGCAGUAGGGAAUCUUCCGCAAUGGGCGAAAGCCUGACGGAGCAACGCCGCGUGAGUGAUGAAGGUCUUCGGAUCGUAAAACUCUGUUAUUAGGGAAGAACAAAUGUGUAAGUAACUAUGCACGUCUUGACGGUACCUAAUCAGAAAGCCACGGCUAACUACGUG
rnacentral:rRNA from 1 species